UACGUAGGGGGCGAGCGUUGUCCGGAUUUAUUGGGCGUAAAGCGCUCGCAGGUGGUCCGAUGCGUCGUGCGUGAAAGACCCCGGCUCAACUGGGGGGCGUCGUGCGAUACGGUCGGACUGGAGGCCAGUAGGGGGAUGCGGAAUUCCGGGUGUAGUGGUGGAAUGCGUAGAGAUCCGGAGGAACACCAGCGGCGAAGGCGGCAUCCUGGACUGGUCCUGACACUCAGGUGCGAAAGCGUGGGGAGCGAACCGG
rnacentral:rRNA from 1 species